CAUCUCAGUUCGGAUUGCAGGCUGCAACUCGCCUGCAUGAAGCUGGAAUUGCUAGUAAUCGCGGAUCAGCAAGCCGCGGUGAAUACGUUCCCGGGCCUUGUACACACCGCCCGUCACACCAUGAGAGUCGGGAACACCCGAAGUCCGUAGUCUAACCGCAAGGGGGCGCGGCCGAAGGUGGGUCCGGUAAUUGGGGUGAAGUCGUAACAAGGUAAC
rnacentral:rRNA from 1 species